rnacentral:rRNA from 1 species
GAUGAACGCUGGCGGCGUGCUUAACACAUGCAAGUCGAACGAUGACGACCGAGCUUGCUCGGUCUGAUUAGUGGCGAACGGGUGAGUAACACGUGAGCAACCUGCCCUUCACUCUGGGAUAACCUCGGGAAAUCGGGGCUAAUACCGGAUAUGAGCUCCUGUCGCAUGGCGGGUGUUGGAAAGUUUUUCGGUGAAGGAUGGGCUCGCGGCCUAUCAGUUUGUUGGUGAGGUAGUGGCUCACCAAGGCGAUGACGGGUAGCCGGCCUGAGAGGGCGACCGGCCACACUGGGACUGAGACACGGCCCAGACUCCUACGGGAGGCAGCAGUGGGGAAUAUUGCACAAUGGGCGAAAGCCUGAUGCAGCGACGCCGCGUGAGGGAUGACGGCCUUCGGGUUGUAAACCUCUUUCAGCAGGGAAGAAGCGAAAGUGACGGUACCUGCAGAAGAAGCGCCGGCUAACUACGUG